rnacentral:rRNA from 1 species
CCUACCAAGGCUUCGACGGGUAGCCGGCCUGAGAGGGCGACCGGCCACAUUGGGACUGAGAUACGGCCCAGACUCCUACGGGAGGCAGCAGUGGGGAAUAUUGCACAAUGGGGGGAACCCUGAUGCAGCGACGCCGCGUGCGGGAUGACGGCCUUCGGGUUGUAAACCGCUUUUAUUGGGGAGCAAGCGUGAGUGAGUGUACCUUUUGAAUAAGCACCGGCUAACUACGUGCCAGCAGCCGCGGUAAUACGUAGGGUGCAAGCGUUGUCCGGAAUUAUUGGGCGUAAAGAGCUCGUAGG